AUGAUCUCCGUGAAAUCUAGGCACCAAAUGUAUCUCUCUUGGAAAUAUCAGAUUACACUCUGGGCUCUGGUGAAUGUUUUUCAUAAUGUUUUUGAAACACAAGCUCUGGGAGGUAUUGUUUACAAUCCAGGCCAAGGAAAUCACAAAGCAAGAUGAAACACAAAGCAAAUCUGAUAGGAGAUAUAGUAACAUUCACGAUAGUAGUUUUGAUAAGGAGAGAAGUCUGCAUCAUGACACUUCUAAUAUAAGCUGAAAAUGGUUGGAAAACAUUUACUAUGUGUCUCUGGCUCAAAAGUGCUAUAGGUAGUAGUGAGUGCAAGCCUGUAUAUGUGCUUUACCACUGCAGCGUUCGUGCAUCACAUCCCAGGCACCCAUCUGAGGGGAAAGUUUCUUCGUAGGAGCAGCCAUGGCUGAAAUAACAACAGCAAGGAGGAGAAACUGGCUGCUGUCCACAAGGCUUGCUGCGGCUUGCAGCUCACUGCCGGCAGCCAGCCCAACGGCAUGGGGAGCGCUGGGGACACGUGCUCCGAGCGGAGCCGACACCAGACCCCUGGCAGAGGGACGGGAAAAAUACCCGAGCUGCCCGUCCAGCUUUGCUCCCUGCUCUGGGGAUGGGGAUCAGCUAGAUAACCACGGCUCUUGCCUGCACGGUGCCCCGUGUGUGCGGCCGCCUGGACCUGUCCCCGUUGCCCCACGUGCUGGGGCAGGAGGAAGCGUGCUGCUGCCUGUCCCACAGACAGUGCCGGCAGGAAGCAGGAAGGGGAGCCAGCCGCCCCCUCGGUAUCGCUUUCCACAUCCCGCACUUCUUCACCUCUGGCCCAAAGACAGGCCCGCACUGGCAGGGCAGCGGGGUGGGAGAGCCAGUCCCACACUGCAGCAGGAGUCCUGGAAAAGAUAUACCUCUGAAUCAUCUGAAAAAUCAUCUGAAAAAGGGUGCCUGCUGAGACCCUGAGAGGCAGCACUGCCCUCCCACGUUAAGACCACUCCUCCACAUUUGAUGCAAUGAGGGUGCCACCCCCCUGUCCAAGCUGCGAGGACUGGGACCAGGCUGGAUCAGCUGCACUUGUCCUGUUGGCUUCUCAUGUCCCUGCAGUGUGUGGGAACUGUGGGCCUGCCCCAAAAUGUUUGAAGUUCGAAGUGAAGAAUUUUUGCAUACUACAGUUACUUUUAUCACUGACAAGAAAUACUUUAUAGAGGCUUUUCCUAGACUGGUGUUGGUGGUUUUUGCCCCCAGUGAACAUUUUUAGACCUAAUUCUG
rnacentral:lncRNA from 1 species